CUGCAAAAACAUGCUAUUUACAUAUUAGACAGGAAUGCAGAGGCUUGCCCCUGAAAAAAUCAAAUGUCAAACGCAAAUUGGCUGGUCAUUUCUCCAAAAGACAACCAUGAAGCGCUAUCUAAACCUGAAGCAUGCAGUUGCUGCAUGUGUACAGUAACCUGAGGGGAGUGAGGUGAGUGCUUCUGAGGAGAACAUGAGCAGUGAAGAUUCACCUUAGAGCCAGAACAGGGACGUGCACAUGAUUAUAGAGGGGCAGGGGCUCAAGUCUUUUCCAGUCCUUUAUACAAAAUGGAAAUUAAUGUGAAAUUAAAAAACAAAGUAUUAAUAGAAAGGUAAUGACUGUCCUGUGUAGAUGACAGUGAUAUCCAAUAGGCUAGGCACUCACGAGGCUGGCUGUGGCAAGUGUAAGUGAAAGCAACACGCACUGGCAGGAAGAACAGCAAACGCCGAUGAAGGAAAAGGGUCUUUGCAGUGAUAGGCGUUACCAGAGAGGGCGAUGGCCAGAGGACGCGAAUGGGACGGGGAGGCAGCGCGUUGGGGGGGGGGGGGGGCGUGACACGGCUCGGGCCCGCCAGUGCCCCAACGGGGCCCUAGUUUUUGUUUUGUUUUCCCGUGAUGCGCCUCAGGGGGGUAUUCCAGAAAGCGGGUUAUGUGAAAAACUCUGAGUAAGUUAACCCUGAGAUGAGGGAAACUCUGAGUUAUCCGUUCCAGAAAGAGAGGUAACUUAAACACUGGGUCAGUUACUGCGGUAACUUACUCUGUGAACAUAACCUGCUCGCUGACAGGUUUACUAUAAGAGACCCAGAGUUUCUACAUGUCUCCUCCCACACAAAGAAAGCGGUUGAACAUGGAUUGUCCAUUCCUUGAAAAUCCGAUCGACAUCGAAGCCAGAAUAAUGAGCAACGGUUUACGUCGCGAGAGAAUCUUCCGACCCAGAUUAGACGUUUUAUCAUUUCCAGAAGAAUUUAUUUUCGAACGCUACCGCUUUUCUUUGAACAGUAUAAUUUAUCUAAAUAACCUUCUCCGGCCGUGUAUUCAGUGUACAUGUCAAACUCCAAAUUCCACUUUAGAAUGUAAAUGAAUGGGCACUGCCAGUAGCUAUAUAUUAAGACACACUUCAGGAUGCCCCUCUGGAUCUCUCCCUGUGGCAGCAGACAGUGUUUCUUCAUCCUCCUCCUCCUCCUCCCCCUCCUGUAAUGCAGGAAAAUAUACUGUUUCAGAAUACUUUGAACUACCAUCUGAGGAAUCUGAGUAUGGAAGACUUACAGCUACAGGGUUUGUUUCUGUCGGAGGCUGAAGCAGGCAGAUGACACCAUCCACAACUGUUGGGUGGGUGGAUAUAUAUUUGUUAAAAAGUAGGCUAUAUAUAUUUAUAUAUUAGUUUGAUUUUUUUUAAAGACAUAAGUGUAUACUUGCAUCUGAUGUAGGGACUUGUGUCCUGGGGGGUGACAGGCUCGGAUGAGCUUCCCCCGGGGAUGCCUUCAGCCACAGGGCGACCCCUGUUUUGGCUGAGGGCCAGCUCCUCAGCCUCCGUCAGAUAUAGUGGAGGUGGCCCUCCACCCGUUUUUCGGGCCUCUGCCUUCUUUCUGUUGGCUGAGCAGAAGUCAAUGUUUAUUUUAAAAUAGUAUUUUAAUCAGUGUUGGUGUAGGCUACAGCGUCACAUUUUAAAUGACUUCAAUAGGUCUAAAAUAUAAAUGUGUUUGUAUCAAGUGUUAAUCCACGAAGUGUAGAAUUAAGUGAGAGGACGUUGAAAAACUACAUUUUGUUUGGGGUUUAAAUUAUUAUUUGAAGUAGCCGCUGAAUUAAUAUUUUAGUUUAAAUUAAUAUUGACUUUGUCUAAUAGCCUAAGUCCAUUUUUUGAAUUAUGUUUUUAUGUUUCAUUUUGAGCUGCUUCCAAGUCCUUUUUUCUCCCGUUGGAUUGCACCUAAAUGAAAAUCAGAUUUCAUUCCUACUUAUAUUCAUAACUAUAGACUAUGCUUCGAUCUUAUAUGUUACGUCAGUGGAAUAGUACAUUCAAACUUACGCAUUGACUCGCGCAGCAAAUUUCUCCCAUGCCGUCUCUCUCUCCUUCGCUGCUGCAGCCGUGUUGGAUUUGCGGCGAAAAAUGUUCUCAUACUCGCCGUAGGCCAGCAUAAGGACCUCCAACUCCACCGGGGUGAAAUAAAUUGACCGUUUUUGCUCUGUUGUCAUGGUGACUCGUGGUAUCGGGGCUCCAUUGAUGAUGGCUUUUUAUACUGGUUGUGCACGCGCGUAACUCCAGGUUAUCAUACUCGGAGUUGAUUGAACUAAUUCAGAUCAGCUUUUCUGGAACCGGAUACUCAGAGUCUCCCAUCUCAGAGUAAGUCAACUCAGAGUUCAGGGAUAGACUCAGAGUAUGUUGAACCUGCUUUCUGGAAUACCCCCCAGGGGUCCGUUUCAUGUAGCAGGUUUAAUGGAAACUCCGAGUUUGUUAACCCUGAAAUCAGGGAAACUCUGAGUUUUCCGUUUCACAAAGGAGGGUUAGUUAAACCAGGGAGAGAGGGGUAACUCUAACCUGUUUCACAAAGAGAGGUAACUCAACCUCGCGGUCAGUUACCACAGUAACAGACUCCGUGAACCUAACCUGCUCGGGAGCAGGUUUAACUCAGUAAACCCAGAGUUUCAGGUGAGACAUCGGCAUCGGCAGGUGAGACAUCGGCCUCCCCCGUUCGACGAUCCGAUCGCAAAUCCCCCCCCCCCCACAGACACACACACACACACACACACACACACACACACACACGCACACCAGUCCGACGAUCGCUGCUACGGGGUGGGGGUUGCGAUCGUCGAAGGGGUGGGGGGGCAGCUCCUCUGCCUCCGUUAAAGGUGUGGCUGCUGGGCCACCACCCGUUUUUCUGGCAUCUGCCCUCUUUCUGUUUGCUGAGUGAAAGUCUAAUAUUGAGUGUAGUGUGUGUUAGUUUAAUAUAUGUACAUAUACAUACUGAGAGUUAGUUUAAUAUUCCUAAUCAUUUAACGGAACAUCAUAAGAGAGUAAAAUUCAUU